ACGGGAGGCAGCAGUGGGGAAUAUUGUUCAAUGGGCGAAAGCCUGACCCAGCAACGCCGCGUGCAGGCAGAAUGCCUUCGGGUUGUAAACUUCUUUUAUCAGGGACGAAGGACGUGACGGUACCUGAUGAAUAAGCCACGGCUAACUACGUGCCAGCAGCCGCGGUAAUACGUAGGUGGCGAUCGUUAUCCGGAUUUACUGGGUGUAAAGGGCGCGUAGGCGGGGAUGCAAGUCAGAUGUGAAAUCUAUGGGCUUAACCCAUAAACUGCAUUUGAAACUGUAUCUCUUGAGUGUCGGAGAGGUAGAUGGAAUUCCUAGUGUAGCGGUGAAAUGCGUAGAUAUUAGGAGGAACACCAGUGGCGAAGGCGAGCUACUGGACGAUAACUGACGCUGAGGCGCGAAGGCGUGGGGAGCAAACAGGAUUAGAUACCCUGGUA
rnacentral:rRNA from 1 species